rnacentral:rRNA from 1 species
UACGUAGGGAGCAAGCGUUGUCCGGAAUCAUUGGGCGUAAAGCGCGCGUAGGUGGCCCCGUAAGUCCGCUGUGAAAGUCAAAGGCUCAACCUUUGAAAGCCGGUGGAUACUGUGGGACUAGAGUACGGAAGAGGCGAGUGGAAUUCCUGGUGUAGCGGUGGAAUGCGCAGAUAUCAGGAGGAACACCAGUGGCGAAGGCGGCAUCCUGGACCGGCAUUGACGCUGAGGCGCGAAAGCUAGGGUAGCAAACGGG